AGCGAACGCUGGCGGCAGGCUUAACACAUGCAAGUCGAGCGGGCACUUCGGUGUCAGCUGCAGACGGGUGAGUAACACGUGGGAACGUACCCUUCGGUUCGGAAUAACGCUGGGAAACUAGCGCUAAUACCGGAUACGCCCUUUUCGGGAAAGGUUUACUGCCGAAGGAUCGGCCCGCGUCUGAUUCGCUAGUUGGUGGUGUAAUGGCCUACCAAGGAGACGAUCAGUAGCUGGUCUGAGAGGAUGAUCUGCCACAAUGGGAAUGAGACACGGACCAUAACGGGACGGGAGGGAGGAGAGGGGAACACUAGAGACGGAGCGCAAGUCUGAUAAAGCCGUGCCGGGUGAGAGAUGAAGGCCUUAGGGUUGUAAAGCCGUUUUGUACGGGACGAUAAUGACGGUAACGGAAGAAGAAGCACCGGCUAACUUCGUG
rnacentral:rRNA from 1 species